GAGGUCAAGCAAACCCCAUAAAGUUGUUCUCAGUUCGGAUUGUAGUCUGCAACUCGACUACAUGAAGCUGGAAUCGCUAGUAAUCGUAGAUCAGCAUGCUACGGUGAAUACGUUCCCGGGUCUUGUACACACCGCCCGUCACACCACGAGAGUUUGUAACACCCGAAGCCGGUGGAGUAACCUUUUAGGAGCUAGCCGUCGAAGGUGGGACAAAUGAUUGGGGUGAAGUCGUAACAAGGUAGCCGUAUCGGAAGGUGCGGCUGGAUCACCUCCUUUCUAAGGA
rnacentral:rRNA from 1 species